UGCUCUGUAACUGUCACCACCAUCCAUCUCUGGAAUGUUCUCAUCAUCCCAGACUGGAGCUCCAUACCCACUACACAACAGCUCCCCGCGUGGCCUCCCCCUAGUCCCCGUCAACCACAGCACUAUUUUCUGCUUCUGUGAGUCUAUUUGAGGUAUCUCCUGCAAGUGGAAUCAUGUGGCAUUUGUCCUUUGUGACUAGAGGAGGAAGCUGGAUUUCCAGAUGCCCACAGCUGGCGCCGUCCAAGGCUGGCUCCUGUGAUCUCCGUGGGAGCCAGCCCCGCCUGGCCGCCCUCGCUCCAGACACCUGGAAGAAGGCCGCAGCGUGGCUCGGCUCUGCCUUUUCCCACCAGCGGGAGAAUGAAAAUAGCAGCGGUUCAGGAUUAAUUCCGCAGAUGAACAUUUUUCAUUUUCCCAAAUUUGGCAAUUAGCUCUUUUCUCCCCUCCACCCUCACCGCCUGCCUUUUCUUGCGCUGGAGCAGACACACUGGAGCAGCUGCUGGCUCUCGCGCGUUCUGCAGGGGACAGAGACUGUGACUUUCACCUGCAUUGCUGUGUGCCCAGCACAGAGCCUGGCACAUGGGAGAUGGAUGCUCCGUAAACAGUUAAG